rnacentral:rRNA from 1 species
AGGUGAUCCAACCGCAGGUUCCCCUACGGUUACCUUGUUACGACUUCACCCCAGUCAUGAAUCACAAAGUGGUAAGCGCCCUCCCGAAGGUUAAGCUACCUACUUCUUUUGCAACCCACUCCCAUGGUGUGACGGGCGGUGUGUACAAGGCCCGGGAACGUAUUCACCGUAGCAUUCUGAUCUACGAUUACUAGCGAUUCCGACUUCAUGGAGUCGAGUUGCAGACUCCAAUCCGGACUACGACAGACUUUAUGUGGUCCGCUGGCUCUCGCGAGUUCGCUUCACUUUGUAUCUGCCAUUGUAGCACGUGUGUAGCCCUACUCGUAAGGGCCAUGAUGACUUGACGUCAUCCCCACCUUCCUCCGGUUUGUCACCGGCAGUCUCCCUUGAGUUCCCACCAUUA